rnacentral:rRNA from 1 species
UACGUAGGUGACAAGCGUUGUCCGGAUUUACUGGGCGUAAAGAGCGCGCAGGCGGUCGUUCAAGUCGAGUGUGAAAGCCCCCGGCUCAACUGGGGAGGGUCAUUCGAUACUGAUCGACUCGAAGGCAGGAGAGGGAAGUGGAAUUCCCGGUGUAGUGGUGAAAUGCGUAGAUAUCGUAAGGAAGACCAGUGGCGAAGGCGGGUCUCUGGACAGUUCCUGACGCUGAGGCACGAAGGUCAGGGGAGCAAACGGG